rnacentral:rRNA from 1 species
UACGGGGGGUGCUGACGUCAUCCGGAUUUAUUGGGCGUAAAGCGCACGUAGGCGGCGAUUUAAGUCAGAGGUGAAAGCCCGGGGCUCAACCCCGGAAUAGCCUUUGAGACUGGAUUGCUAGAAUCUUGGAGAGGCGAGUGGAAUUCCGAGUGUAGAGGUGAAAUUCGUAGAUAUUCGGAAGAACACCAGUGGCGAAGGCGGCUCGCUGGGCAAGUAUUGACGCUGAGGUGCGAAAGCGUGGGGAGCAAACAGG